UGAAGCCGUCCAUGGCCUGCCUGCACCCUGGCAACUGGAGGAAACCCUGGAGGUGAUUGGCCCUGCUGAACACAGAGGACCCAACAUCUCAUGGGAAACCUCAACACAGACUAGCGGGGCUGGCCGGCAGGUGACCCCCAUGGGAAGCAACACGAGUGCCCGAUUCAUCCAUCACCAGCAUCCAUGUAACUCAAGUGACAUCAGCAGAGUCCCUCCUGAUUCUCACCAGUGAAGGUGAGAGGCGAAGCAGGCCCCUGGGUGAGCUGUGUGUCUUUAUCCAAACCCAAGCUCUGUGCAUGCCAGGAACAUGGAUGUGUGCCAGCAUGGGAGGUAGAGACGGAGCUCACUAUGACACUGCCCUCCUGAGCCAGACUUGACCGGAGGUCCCUCAAAGCCCUCACGUGUCUUCCCAUCUCCUCACCUGGUGAUCCAUCUCUUGUUCUGCAGCUGCCAUCCCUUCUUUGCGUAACAUGGGGAAUCCAUUGCCUCAUUAUCUUCUUCACAGGCCUGCAUGUUGGUCUUGUCUCUUCGUUUUUGAUUGGUGUCUUCUUUCCCUGUACAAAACCAACAUACAUCCUCCCAUAGCUCCCUGUCCAAACUUUGGAGCCGCAUAAUCUGCCACGGGUGGUUCUGCCUUCUCAGAAGCACCUUAUGGGUACCAUAGCAGGAGGUGCUGCAGAACAGGGCUCAGGGACGCUGGUGGAAUUUGGGGGCAGAGAGAUCAGGUCUGAAAUAGCAGAAGGGGCUUUGGCUCAGGAUUCAGAGUUGUGGUGAGCAGUGGGAGUUUUCACACCCGCCCCAAACCAGUGCCUGCACUUCUUUGCUAAUGUUCACUGAGCAGCCCUAAAAUCUGGCCCAGCCAGAGGGCUCUUGGGAAAAUCUGGAACGGGGAGCGGAGGAGGAUUUUUGGAAGCUGCUGGCGCUGCAUUCGGGGAAGGAGUCGUGUGCGGGGACGAGCUGAUUAAGAUAAUAUAAUGCCUUUGAGAGCGGGGUUGGGACCACUGGCCCACGGUGGCAGUGACAGAUCCUGGCUCUGGAGACCAAGAAGCCCAGGUCUGUCCUGCAGUGGGUGGCCCAGGCUCUGGUCUGUGAGGACACUACAGCCCCGCAGCAGGACAAAUCGCACUUCCUAGCACCGCUUUGAACUCGGACUCUGCUGCUCUGCCCGCGUGGGUGGAGCAAGUGAGGAGAGAGCAGAUUUAUGAGGAGAAACUGCGUCUGCAGGGGCGGACGGUGGGCCGGACUCGGGGGGCAUCACAGGAUGCACCCCAGUGAAGGAUCAAAGGCCACAGGAACACAAUGUCCUCCAGUGGGAGGCAGGGCUGUUUCCCCCCCACCUGCUGCCAUUGCUGCCAGCCAGAAGCCUCUGCAGCCAUGGGCUGUAUCCUCCCCCGUUCGCCUGUAACACCUGCACUUCCUCGCU